CUCCCAGCAUUAUUUCCUUUUUUGACAUUAUGAUCUUCACCUGCACAGUUUUCUUCUAAGCAAGAAGCUCCCUUGUCAUCUGCUAGUUCUAACCAUAGAUAAGUUCACUAUCCACUCCUCGUUCUUGAACCCAGAAUGCUGAGUACUACUUCAGAAAACUAAAUACUAGUGCUGAUUGGUGCCAGGUGGCCUUCUGAUACCUAUUCCCAAUUCUCACUCACAUGAUUACAACCAAAACAGAGCAAUAAUUAUAUCCUAUAGGAGAUAAGAUAUCCUGCAUUAAAGAUCUCGAUAAAUUGCACUCCACAACUUUUUUUGGACUUUAAAUAGCCCAUUUACAUAUAUCUUAACCAUACC
rnacentral:lncRNA from 1 species